rnacentral:rRNA from 1 species
UGAGGAAUAUUGCGCAAUGGCCGAAAGGCUGACGCAGCGACGCCGCGUGAAGGAUGAAGUCCGUUAGGAUGUAAACUUCUUUUGCAGGGGAUGAAUGUUCCGGUCUCCGGAAUUGACCGUACCCUGCGAAUAAGGAUCGGCUAACUACGUGCCAGCAGCCGCGGUAAUACGUAGGAUCCGAGCGUUGUCCGGAAUUACUGGGUGUAAAGGGCGUGUAGGUGGGUCUCUAAGUCGGUGGUGAAAUCCUGCAGCUCAACUGCAGAACUGCCAUCGAUACUGGAGGUCUUGAGUACGGCAGAGGGAGAUGGAAUUCAUGGUGUAGCGGUGAAAUGUGUAGAUAUCAUGAAGAACACCGGUAGCGAAGGCGGUCUCCUGGUCCGUAACUGACACUGAGGCGCGAAAGCGUGGGGAGCAAACAGGAUUAGAUACCCUGGUAGUCCACGCCUUAAACGAUGGGUACUCGGUGCUGGUCCCGCUCGGUGCUUGCGAACAGCGAGCUUCGAGCGGGAUCAGUGCCAAAGCUAACGCAUUAAGUACCCCACCUGGGGAGUACGAUCGCAAGGUUG